rnacentral:rRNA from 1 species
UACGUAGGGUGCGAGCGUUGUCCGGAAUUAUUGGGCGUAAAGCGCGCGUAGGCGGCUCGGAAAGUCGGUCGUGAAAUGCCGGGGCUCAACUCCGGAUCUGCGGUGGGUACGGGCAGACUAGAGUGAUGUAGGGGAGACUGGAAUUCCUGGUGUAGCGGUGAAAUGCGCAGAUAUCAGGAGGAACACCGAUGGCGAAGGCAGGUCUCUGGGCAUUAACUGACGCUGGAGGCUCGAAAGCAUGGGGAGCAAACAGG